rnacentral:lncRNA from 1 species
UAAGUGUAUCUUGAGUAACCUCUGGGGUGACCUCUGUAUCCUGUGUUGUCAGGGCAAACACUCUACCUGGAACCAUUAAUCUGUUGUGCUUCCUAAGUAUGGGACAGUCUCGUACUAAAUAUUGGGUACUACUAUAUCUGUAACAUCGUUGACUAGUAAUUGUACAUGGCCUAUCCCCAUGACUCCUACCACAACGUGUACAAUCUGUAUUCAUUAACAAUAUAUGAUGCCCUAUAGUUAAAUCCUAAAUUGUUCUUUGCCUAUUCUCUGUCUGAACGGAGGGUGGUGGAUCCACUUAUAACUGGGGGGUCCUCUACUGUACUCUAUCUGCUCCCUAUACAGAGUUUUUACCAACUGUGUCUUCUCUAAAAUCGCCUGAUAGGUAAGUAAGGCAAACACCACUACUUGAUGGUACAAUUCUAGUCUCAGUCCCAUCUCAAAUCUUUUAGCCUUCUUCAGUUCAUUAAUCAUAACUUUCGGAGAAAAACAGUCCAACUCUAUGUACCUCUCUGCAUAUUUUGCCACUGAUAACUUCCCUUGACGCAAUUCUACGAGCUCCGUCUCUUU